UGUUUUUUGUUUGUUUGUUUGUUUGAAAGUAGACACAUAGGAAUGAAAGAAACCCACUGGGUUACUGAAGACCAUCCCUGUGAAAUCAAGUGGCAACCAAGCCCUGUAGUUACACAGGAAAACUAAACAACUCCCCCUCCAGCUUCUUCUCACCUUAUUAGGGUAGUAACAUUUCUAGCAAGACAGUUCAAGAGUCUGGUGGUCACUGAAAAAUGUAUAUCUACUGUCUAUUAUGCAGCCAUGUCAGCAUUCCAACCAUGCCAAAGCUCUCUCCUGCAAGCUGCUGUGCAAGCUUAGAAAAAGACAGUCUGCUUGGACGCAUUUAACAGAUAGAUAUUCUAUCCAGUUUGAAUAGGAUAUGACAAAGAAGACUGAUGAACAUUAGGGUUGAACAGCAAAAGAGAACAGCAAGAGAGAAAGAAGGACGAAUUCAAGAAAAAUAAUUGUAUUUUUUUCCACUGAAAUCCUAACCUAGUCUGCAUUUCUUUGUUUUCUCAGUUACAUAUGAUUGAUCUUUCUGUUGACAUACCAAUGGGCCAAACUGUUACAAUUUUAAGCACAUUCA